GAAGGACCGCCCCCUGCUGAGCUGUCAAUCUGUACGAAGAUGGUGCAAGACAUCCUUGGAGUGCUCCUGGCUGGCAUCUCUGGCAGUUUGGAAAGUGAAGCUGAGCCAGUGAAAGAAAAAACGCAAACACCCUCUCGACCAGCCGCUGCAAGAGAUGAAGUGUUGCACCUGCAGAGAGAGGUCCUGCAGUUACAGAAGGAAAAACUGCAGAUAGAAAUUGAUAAAAUCAGAAAGGAGAAGGAAAAUCAGGAGCUUUACAACAUAAUUCUUAAAGACAAACUUCUGCAGCUAAAAAAUGAAGGAAGGAUUACAAACACAUCAAUUGAUGAAUAAAUACAUUUUAUUUUAGAUUUAAAGUGUUGCAUUUGUUAUUAUAAUAAUGAAUAUAUAUACACACACGAGUAAUAAUGAAUAACUAUAUACAAUAUAUAAACUAAUAAUUAUGUAUUUAAUAAUAAAGUAAUGACACCACUACUACUAAUAAAUCUUCACAUUUUUUACAAGUUUCUAUUACCACUAAAUAGCCUAUUUUGUCAUUUGUAUUACAUAGUGUUGGGUUCGAGUCCACCUAAGUCGAGUCUGAGUCCAAGGAAACACUAAUGUCGGUCAGUAUCUUAACAUUGUUUUAACCCAGGGCUGCCCAAAAUCAGUCCUGGAGGGCCAGGGUCCUACAGAGUUUAGCUCCAGCCCCAAUCAGACACACCUGAACCAGCUAAUCAAGCUCUUACUAGGCAUACCAGAAACCCCCUUGCAGGUGUGGGACCAGGACCGAGUUUGGGGACCCCUGUUUGUAAACUUUUUCAACUAGAAAAAUGCAAUGUCAGUUGAAAUGUAAGAAAAGCAAACCUCUGGUGGAUCUUGCCAUUUUGAUUUUUGAUUUCACAACAUCUCAUAAUUGUCCAUGCUUUGCUUAGCAAACUUAUAACAGUCAAAGUCAUGUAACAGAAGUUUUGACUGACCUAUGCUGACAUACUGUAUUUCAGAGUGAAACAGGUUUUAGAAUGUGAUAAAUUAUAGGGUGGGACUUUAUUCACUGAUAUAGUAAAUGUAUAAAUUCAAGGGUGGGGGUAAAGGAGUAGGUAUCUUGGUGACCUUAACCCUUUAACUGUUAAAAAUGCACUAUACAGACUUAAAUUUUUAUAAUUCAUGAAUGAAAACAUUUUGCAAUAUGAUUUUGAUGUACAUUUUCUGUGGUAAUGCAAUGUCUGAUUUUAAAAUGUCUUUCAAAGGAUGAAUUUUGAGAUGUUAAGAUUUGAACUGAUAUAUGAUUUCUAAAGCAUGUUAGGGAAAAAGGCAACAAAGAAAGUCUUUUGUAGGUCAGAACUCAUGUUAUGAUAUAGAUUUUUUAAGUUACAAUCUUGACACAUAUUAAUCUAUUACUUUUCCUACAUACUUUGUAACACAAAAUAUGGUAAAUAUCUAUUUAGGAGACCUUAGACCGUUAGACCUUUCCGACGAUGUAUAGUUUGUCAUGAUUAGAUUAGGAUUUACUGUAUUUGUACUAUGAAAUAAACUUCCCACUGAGCGGACGGUGACAAUUAAAGGGUUAA